UUGCUGGCAUGCUUACUCCUGACAUAGGUGCCCAGGUCUCUUUGUAGCACGCUGGAAGAGUUGAGGGCCUCAGCCUGGGAUUCACACAAGGUCAGYGUGCUGUCACCCAAAGAAGGGUGUUUUAUGUGAGUUCAAAAGGAUCCUCAGUGAAUAUGACUCUGAGCCAAAGCGUGAAGUUUGUUUAACACACACAAACUAAAAAACAACCACAUGCAGUAAUACCGUUUCAGCUCUCUAAUACAUAACUGCAAGGCAUUUACUUUCCUCCUAUUUUUGGGGCCCCAUUACCUUGCAUUGACCCUGAUUCCAGCGGGGCGUUGCCCACUUUCCUCAGUCCGGUCAGGAGUUUUGCGCUUGCAGUGAGUCUGGUGAAGACCUCAAAACGUCGGAGCACGAAGAGGCCUUUUUUAGCUGCUGCCAGUGCUGGGGAUUCAGGGAGGUUUUCCUCAGCACAAUGAUACCUGCUGCACCCACCUCAGGGUUGUGUUGUUUUGUGAAACAGCGAAAAUGAUUGUAAGAUGAUUGCUGCCAUCUUUUAUGAGUAUGGCAAGGAGUGGACUUCUGGACACUUGUUUAUUAAAGUUAAUAGCAUCCUGGUACAGAGAGACUUUACAUGGAAUAAAGCACACGCUGAGGUCACAGGUGUCAACUCUCAUCAAAGUUCCGUAUCUU
rnacentral:lncRNA from 1 species